GAAAAGACAGUGAAAAGGAAUAGUAGUAAGGCAUCUUUGAUAGAGAGUACAUGGUUGGUGGAAAUGUACAAAGAUAAAUUAUGAACUCGCCUUGUGAGUCGCUUUUUUGAACGUAAUCAUUGGUUGAUUAGCAAAUAGAAAAAGUCGUAGCGCCUGCGUUAAAGGUAUGAGGAGUCUAUAAGUCUAGUUUAUUUACUUAUAGAAAAUAUAGGUGGUACCACGAAAUUGUCCAGUCAAUUCGUCCUAUGA
rfam:Carnobacterium maltaromaticum LMA28 complete genome